GGAAAUAUGGGGGGAGAAAACUGUCCAAAAGAAGCCGGUGGAAAAAGUGCCGGAAAGUGGGCACACGCGCGCGGCGCGUGGAGGACAGGGGCGGCGCGUGGGCGGCGUGUGGCGGCGCGUGCGGCUGUUUUCGGCAACGAAAUUUGCAGGAAAUGUGCGCCUGACACUGUGUGUCACGAUGGUGUGGGAGGUGAGUCAAAGAAACCCCCGAGGGAUGUCGAAACACUGUCGGAACAGUGUUCCAGGCAGUGGGGUAAGGGGGGCGAAGGUGGGGUAGGGGUACUUACCUGGUGGUUACCUGGAGGUUCCGGCGACUCGCCAGAUGGUGGUGGUGGAGCUGAUGGUGUGUGCUUGGGGAAGGG
rnacentral:lncRNA from 1 species